AAAAAACAAUGUGUUGUAAAGUAAGUCAACUAUUAUUUAAAACGGAUACAUACUGAAUAAGCUGAUGCAAUAACGAAAAGGUUAAAGUUCGACAUGUAGAUUUAUAAUUGGAAUAUUUUUUAAACAGUGUAUAAUACAUCGAAUAUUUUAACAAGGUAAGGAUUUUUCCAAUAUUUAUUUCCAACCAAAAUAUCAUAAGAAAAGUAACUGACAGGGAGGAUUCAGGGGUUAAAGGAAGAGGAGGGCGUCCCCCAAAUUUAGCUUUAUAUUAUAUGACAACUGAAUAGUUUCCUUCUGACUUCUCAGUAAACUAAUGUAACAGGGAUAUUCGAUCGAAAGCUCUAACCUAUUGUGAUAAAUUCUUUGAUAGUGAUCAUGUACUGUUAAUAGUAACACUCAGGGAAGACCCGUCUAAAUUCUUCUUAAUUGAUAAUUUUAACAAUAAUUUAGCUGUUGUACGACCGAACACAAGUUCAAUGAAGAAAUCUUUUGCAAAUAGCUCAUCAAUACUUUGGAAUAAACUACCAAAUGAAAUAAAAUGUUUUGAUAACUGG
rnacentral:lncRNA from 1 species